UGCGUAGGGCGCAAGCGUUGUCCGGAAUUAUUGGGCGUAAAGAGCUCGUAGGUGGUUUGUCGCGUCUGUCGUGAAAGCCCGGGGCUUAACUCCGGGCCUGCAGUGGGUACGGGCAGACUAGAGUGCGGUAGGGGAGACUGGAAUUCCUGGUGUAGCGGUGAAAUGCGCAGAUAUCAGGAGGAACACCGGUGGCGAAGGCGGGUCUCUGGGCCGUAACUGACGCUGAGGAGCGAAAGCGUGGGGAGCGAACAGG
rnacentral:rRNA from 1 species